UACGUAGGGUGCGAGCGUUAAUCGGAAUUACUGGGCGUAAAGCGUGCGCAGGCGGUUCGUUGUGUCGGCGGUGAAAGCCCCGGGCUUAACCUGGGAAUGGCCGUUGAAACUGGCGAACUGGAGUGUGGCAGAGGGGGGUGGAGUUCCGCGUGUAGCAGUGAAAUGCGUAGAGAUGCGGAGGAACACCGAUGGCGAAGGCAGCCCCCUGGGCUAACACUGACGCUCAGGCACGAAAGCGUGGGGAGCAAACAGG
rnacentral:rRNA from 1 species